GAGUUACUAGUGUAAAGGUAACACUCCUGCCCGUGGAGCAGGCAUUCUGAGUUCGAAUCUCAGGUAUCUCC
rnacentral:tRNA from 1 species